UACAGAGGGUGCGAGCGUUAUCCGGAUUCAUUGGGCGUAAAGCGUUUGUAGGCGGUGGAAAAAGUCGAAGGUAAAAGGUGUCGGCCCAACCGGCAUUAUGUCUUUGAAACUUUUCCGCUAGGAGAAGGUAAAGGCAAGUGGAAUUCCAUGUGUAGGGGUGAAAUCCGUAGAUACAUGGAGGAACACCAAAAGCGAAGGCAGCUUGCUGGACCUUUCUUGACGCUGAGAAACGAAAGCGUGGGGAGCAAACAGG
rnacentral:rRNA from 1 species